rnacentral:lncRNA from 1 species
GGACUUUGAAAUGGGUUCCAAAAGAUAAGAAGGAAGAUGAGGUAGACCAACAAGGUAGGCAAGCUGGGGACAAUAAACAAACAACUGAGAAUGCAAAAGGCAGGGUUGUGGAUAAGGGGAAAACAAAAGGAAAAAAGUGUACAACAAAGUGCAGGAGCUUUGGUGAACACGACUAACAGAUUCUCUCUACUGCAGCUAGGUGAAGAUCCAGGGGAUGCUGGCCCAUCCAACUUCACCUCUAAAUGAUAUUCUGCACUAACAGAUUCUCUCUACUGCAUCUAGGUGAAGAUCCAGGGGACGCUGGCCCAUCCAGCUUCACCU